rnacentral:lncRNA from 1 species
CUCUCUGUCAUAAGAAGUAAAUAGUAAACUUUCCUUCUGAGUUGUUGUUCACCGAAGGGAAGGAAUUCAUAGGUUUCUUCCCGAUGGAAUCCAGCUAUCUUGAUGAGGCCCACGGCUUCACAAGAAAGUCUAUAUGAAGUUCUCGUAUCCGCAAACUGCGCGUAACAACGGUGCAAACAAUAGUAUGUCAUGAUUCGAAUUAUGUCGCUGUUACUAAGGUCGUCAAAGAAUUGCCGAGAUAACAUGCAAAGAGUGCAUAACUGCUCUCCAGUAAAAGUGACUCCUUCCUCAUACUCUAUUUCAAUUUGCAAGUCGCUAAGAGUAGCUGCCGAAAGGGAUACCAGAAACCAGUAGGCGCAACAGUCAUCGUAUUUCUCUUCUAGAAGCUUGUGAAGAUCAUCGUAGGAAAGCAUUGGCCAAAUUACAUAUAAGUUAUCAUGAUACAACCUCAAGCAUUGAUCAAUCAGGUUUUUCGGAACCUUCUUACAUACCACCGGAGCGGUCAUAAUAUUAUUAUUCAUACUCACCAUCUGCACUUCCGCUAUUUUUUUUAAGCUUCCUGCUCUAAUGGAUUUUGGACCUCUCUUUUUCAACGGUUGAAGAUAAGUGCAGUUCAAAUUGCGCUGAGUGCAGCGAUUACAUGGUUUAUUCCUGUCACACUUUACUCGACGAACGCGACAGCAGUCGCAAGACUGUUUCGCAAUACCCAUAUUAUUAUAUGAUAAAU